rnacentral:snRNA from 1 species
AUGAUUACCUAGCAGGAGAGUAUCCAUAAUCAAGAUGGUAGUUUUCCACAAGUUGGUUCUCCCACGGUGAAACCUGUCCAUUGCGCCCGAGGCAGGCUGGCCACUGCGAGUUUCCCUGAACUGAAGGAAACUUGACUGUAAAAUUUUGUUGCAAAUGGGUGAUUGUGUUCAUGCUCCCCUC